rnacentral:rRNA from 1 species
UUUAUGGAGAGUUUGAUCCUGGCUCAGGAUGAACGCUGGCGGCGUGCCUAAUACAUGCAAGUCGAGCGAACGGACGAGAAGCUUGCUUCUCUGAUGUUAGCGGCGGACGGGUGAGUAACACGUGGAUAACCUACCUAUAAGACUGGGAUAACUUCGGGAAACCGGAGCUAAUACCGGAUAAUAUUUUGAACCGCAUGGUUCAAAAGUGAAAGACGGUCUUGCUGUCACUUAUAGAUGGAUCCGCGCUGCAUUAGCUAGUUGGUAAGGUAACGGCUUACCAAGGCAACGAUGCAUAGCCGACCUGAGAGGGUGAUCGGCCACACUGGAACUGAGACACGGUCCAGACUCCUACGGGAGGCAGCAGUAGGGAAUCUUCCGCAAUGGGCGAAAGCCUGACGGAGCAACGCCGCGUGAGUGAUGAAGGUCUUCGGAUCGUAAAACUCUGUUAUUAGGGAAGAACAUAUGUGUAAGUAACUGUGCACAUCUUGACGGUACCUAAUCAGAAAGCCACGGCUAACUACGUGCCAGCAGCCGCGGUAAUACGUAGGUGGCAAGCGUUAUCCGGAAUUAUUGGGCGUAAAGCGCGCGUAGGCGGUUUUUUAAGUCUGAUGUGAAAGCCCACGGCUCAACCGUGGAGGGUCAUUGGAAACUGGAAAACUUGAGUGCAGAAGAGGAAAGUGGAAUUCCAUGUGUAGCGGUGAAAUGCGCAGAGAUAUGGAGGAACACCAGUGGCGAAGGCGACUUUCUGGUCUGUAACUGACGCUGAUGUGCGAAAGCGUGGGGAUCAAACAGGAUUAGAUACCCUGGUAGUCCACGCCGUAAACGAUGAGUGCUAAGUGUUAGGGGGUUUCCGCCCCUUAGUGCUGCAGCUAACGCAUUAAGCACUCCGCCUGGGGAGUACGACCGCAAGGUUGAAACUCAAAGGAAUUGACGGGGACCCGCACAAGCGGUGGAGCAUGUGGUUUAAUUCGAAGCAACGCGAAGAACCUUACCAAAUCUUGACAUCCUUUGACAACUCUAGAGAUAGAGCCUUCCCCUUCGGGGGACAAAGUGACAGGUGGUGCAUGGUUGUCGUCAGCUCGUGUCGUGAGAUGUUGGGUUAAGUCCCGCAACGAGCGCAACCCUUAAGCUUAGUUGCCAUCAUUAAGUUGGGCACUCUAAGUUGACUGCCGGUGACAAACCGGAGGAAGGUGGGGAUGACGUCAAAUCAUCAUGCCCCUUAUGAUUUGGGCUACACACGUGCUACAAUGGACAAUACAAAGGGCAGCGAAACCGCGAGGUCAAGCAAAUCCCAUAAAGUUGUUCUCAGUUCGGAUUGUAGUCUGCAACUCGACUACAUGAAGCUGGAAUCGCUAGUAAUCGUAGAUCAGCAUGCUACGGUGAAUACGUUCCCGGGUCUUGUACACACCGCCCGUCACACCACGAGAGUUUGUAACACCCGAAGCCGGUGGAGUAACCUUUUAGG